GAACAACCUUAUCCAUCACGAAUGCCAGAACAUGCAUAACCUGGUCAACAUAAGGAACAAGAAUAGUUAGUAGAGACCCAUUAGAUUAUAGUUACUAUCAAACCAGAGGCAAACGUUAUAGGGCCGUCUGCUAUAUUUAUGUUUUCCCAAGUAUGCUGAAUGAAGUAGAUGGAAGAAAACCCCAUAGCAGUUGGCUAAUGCAGAGAUAGCCUAAAAGUGCAUAAUAUAUGAUAAUUCUUAAUAUUAAAUGAUACAUUUGCAGUGUUAUGUCCAAGGAAUUGGGUGGUAAACAAGAUCCACAGAGGUCUGCUUCAACUAGCUGACAUACUAAAAUCUGAAUGUAGAGAAGCAACAGAACCUGAAGUGGAAUGACAUUGCUAUAGACAAGACUUUUCACAAAGGAUCAUUGCAGGGCAGUUAUAAGGAAUGUUUUGUCUUCCUCCUCUACUCUGAAUUUAAAGUCCACUAGACUUUUUUGCUUAGUGGUCAUCAUGGAAAUUCCCGUCACUGUUUCCUGGGUUGGAACACCCUCUUCUUGGAAACCAUGUAGUAAGUAGUGUGCUUGCAAACUAUGUCAGAUAGCUUCAAUGCCUAAAGUGUUUACAAGUUACUUUCAAUUGUCAGUUUU
rnacentral:lncRNA from 12 species